rnacentral:rRNA from 1 species
GAUGAACGCUGGCGGCGUGCCUAAUACAUGCAAGUCGAGCGAGCAGACGAGGAGCUUGCUCCUCUGACGUUAGCGGCGGACGGGUGAGUAACACGUGGAUAACCUACCUAUAAGACUGGGAUAACUUCGGGAAACCGGAGCUAAUACCGGAUAAUAUAUUGAACCGCAUGGUUCAAUAGUGAAAGACGGUUUUGCUGUCUCUUAUAGAUGGAUCCGCGCCGCAUUAGCUAGUUGGUAAGGUAACGGCUUACCAAGGCAACGAUGCGUAGCCGACCUGAGAGGGUGAUCGGCCACACUGGAACUGAGACACGGUCCAGACUCCUACGGGAGGCAGCAGUAGGGAAUCUUCCGCAAUGGGCGAAAGCCUGACGGAGCAACGCCGCGUGAGUGAUGAAGGUCUUCGGAUCGUAAAACUCUGUUAUUAGGGAAGAACAAAUGUGUAAGUAACUAUGCACGUCUUGACGGUACCUAAUCAGAAAGCCACGGCUAACUACGUG